AGCUUGCUCCCGGAUGUUAGCGGCGGACGGGUGAGUAACACGUGGGUAACCUGCCUGUAAGACUGGGAUAACUCCGGGAAACCGGAGCUAAUACCGGAUAGUUCCUUGAACCGCAUGGUUCAAGGAUGAAAGACGGUUUCGGCUGUCACUUACAGAUGGACCCGCGGCGCAUUAGCUAGUUGGUGAGGUAACGGCUCACCAAGGCGACGAUGCGUAGCCGACCUGAGAGGGUGAUCGGCCACACUGGGACUGAGACACGGCCCAGACUCCUACGGGAGGCAGCAGUAGGGAAUCUUCCGCAAUGGACGAAAGUCUGACGGAGCAACGCCGCGUGAGUGAUGAAGGUUUUCGGAUCGUAAAGCUCUGUUGUUAGGGAAGAACAAGUGCAAGAGUAACUGCUUGCACCUUGACGGUACCUAACCAGAAAGCCACGGCUAACUACGUGCCAGCAGCCGCGGUAAUACGUAGGUGGCAAGCGUUGUCCGGAAUUAUUGGGCGUAAAGGGCUCGCAGGCGGUUUCUUAAGUCUGAUGUGAAAGCCCCCGGCUCAACCGGGGAGGGUCAUUGGAAACUGGGAAACUUGAGUGCAGAAGAGGAGAGUGGAAUUCCACGUGUAGCGGUGAAAUGCGUAGAGAUGUGGAGGAACACCAGUGGCGAAGGCGACUCUCUGGUCUGUAACUGACGCUGAGGAGCGAAAGCGUGGGGAGCGAACAGGAUUAGAUACCCUGGUAGUCCACGCCGUAAACGAUGAGUGCUAAGUGUUAGGGGGUUUCCGCCCCUUAGUGCUGCAGCUAACGCAUUAAGCACUCCGCCUGGGGAGUACGGUCGCAAGACUGAAACUCAAAGGAAUUGACGGGGGCCCGCACAAGCGGUGGAGCAUGUGGUUUAAUUCGAAGCAACGCGAAGAACCUUACCAGGUCUUGACAUCCUCUGACAACCCUAGAGAUAGGGCUUUCCCUUCGGGGACAGAGUGACAGGUGGUGCAUGGUUGUCGUCAGCUCGUGUCGUGAGAUGUUGGGUUAAGUCCCGCAACGAGCGCAACCCUUGAUCUUAGUUGCCAGCAUUCAGUUGGGCACUCUAAGGUGACUGCCGGUGACAAACCGGAGGAAGGUGGGGAUGACGUCAAAUCAUCAUGCCCCUUAUGACCUGGGCUACACACGUGCUACAAUGGACAGAACAAAGGGCUGCGAGACCGCAAGGUUUAGCCAAUCCCACAAAUCUGUUCUCAGUUCGGAUCGCAGUCUGCAACUCGACUGCGUGAAGCUGGAAUCGCUAGU
rnacentral:rRNA from 2 species